CAACACAAUCACCUGGUAACCUAGGAGUUCUCUGUAGAACGCGCUGGAAAUGAGCAAGAUGGAUGGUUUUAAGUUAUAAAACUCUGGACUCAUGUUACAAAUAAUCUUCAGCUGUCUUAAGAUAACAUGUACCCAAUAGGCCUGAGUAUUAUGGAUCAGACUUUUUCGUUUUGUUUUAGAUUUACCUAAAACUUUAAGCGAAUGUUAAAUGAACAUGAGAUUCUUUUUUCCUCCAAGGAAAUAUUCCAGCCUUGGAAUAAGGUUGUGGACAGUGAACAAAAGAAAGGCCAAAUGGGGUGUUGGGAAGCCGGCGCGGCGGCCCCGGCCCCCGCCUCAUUCCCGGAGGAACCCGACGGCGGUGGCGGUCCGGACGACUUGCUGCCGCUUCCGCUGUGGCUGGUGGCCGAAGGCAUCUUGAAACCGUAAGGGGAGAGAAGAAAGAGCGGGAGGAAGGACAAGAGCGGCGAGUCAAUCGGCGGACGGGGCGAGACGCGGGACAAAACGCGCAGCGGGCGGGAGCCUGCGCGAGCGGGUGGGGUGGGGACGGGCCGGCGCGCGCCGCCGGGGCAGGAAGGGGCCGCGGGCGCGCGCGACCCGCCAGCGGGGCGCCCGGACAGGCCUCGCACCGCCCCCCGCCCCGCCCCGCCCCGCCCCUCCCCCGCGCGAGCCUCCGGCUCGGCCUACCGGCCCCGGGGCACCAAGACUCGCGCCGGGGGCGGGGCCUCGCAGCGCCGGCCGCCAACGGCCAGAGCAACGGUCCCCACUGGGGAGACCCGGGCCUCGCCUCCCUGCGAGGAAGGGAGGGAAGAGAGAGGUCGGGGCUGAGAGGCGGAGUAGGGUGAAGGGCACUGGAAAUGAUCGGGGGUGGGGGUGGGGAAGAGGAGACUUGAGGAGCAAGCCCCUUGCGCAGGUCCAGACGAUCCGGAGGGAAAUAUUCCAGCCUUGGAAUAAGGUUGUGGACGGUGAACAAAAGAAAGGCCAAAUGCUGGAGGAAAAUGUAUUAAAAGGAAUUUAAGCAGUGGAAAAUUCAGCAACACAAUGUAUGACAACAGUAAAUGACCCAGUUUAUUAUUUAAAUUCCAAGAAAAGGAUUUAGGAAAGGAUGCUACCAAACCCACUGUUUACUGGAGAAUAAAAUGAGUAAUACUGGUUGGCAACGUGUAUCCUGAGGGAGCCUGGAGAAGCAGCAGCCUACAUCCUCAAGAUAUUCCAGUUAGUUGCAGUCUGUUGUCUAUUCAUUCAAAUAUUUAUAGGGCACCUUACUAUGCCUUAGGAACUCUUUAACGCUAGGGAUUGUAAACAAUUUCUAUGUGCAUGGAGCUUCAUUCUAAGUCAGGAGGAGAUAUCAGAGUGAAGAGGUAGAGGAAAAAAAAGCUGGUCAGGAAAAGCGUUAGUGACAUUUGAGCCAAGACUGAAGGAAAAAGGUCACUCACUUAUCUUGGAGGAAGAAUUUUCCAGGUAGA
rnacentral:lncRNA from 1 species